UGACUAAGUAUUCGACUGUCAAGUUUUGUCAAUUUAGUCUCAAAUAUUUCGGUCAUGGAAUCAUGCUUCCUCAGAGCUUAAAAUAGGAUAAACGAAUUCGGUUUAGAGAGUUUUUUUGCAUACCUAUGUUACCAUUCAAAAUCGCAAGAUGGAGUUUGGUGCACAUAUUUAAACGCAACUUUAGAAGCGAAUAAGGCCCCUUUGAAAAACCGGUGCCCAUGCCAUAUAAUGCUUUUGAGUUUGAGCGAUACAGAUGCUGCAGUUGCAGAACCUCGAAUUAAGGCAUAGCUUGAAAUAGCUCUCAUGAUUUGCUAGACUAUUAUGUGGAAAACACAACAGAUAUUCAAUUGAUUCUACAUUUGGCAAAUAUUCGUUGCAAUGAAUGGGAAUGAAUACCUCGCCCAUAGUCCUCAAUGUUCAGUGUAAAGCAUCAGCUAAGUGAGAAAUCUGCAAUAGUCGCAGUAGUUGCAAUGUCGAUAGUAACA